rnacentral:miRNA from 1 species
UUUAGAUUGAACAUGAAGUUAG